rnacentral:rRNA from 1 species
GACGAACGCUGGCGGCGUGCUUAACACAUGCAAGUCGAACGAAGUGGCGAACGGGUGAGUAACGCGUAAUCAACCUGCCCUUCAGAGGGGGACACCAGUUGUAAACGACUGCUCAUACCGCAUCCUGAAGGCGGAGAUUGCGUCUUAUUAGCUGGUUGGAGGGGUAACGGCCCAACAAGGCGAUGAUUAGUAGGCGGGUUGGGGUGAUGGACGGCCACAGUGGGACUGAGGAACGGCCCAGACCUCUACGGGAGGCAGCAGGUGGGAAACUUCCGAAAAGGACGAAAGUCUGACGGAGCAACGCCGCGUGAGUGAUGACGGGCUUCGGGGUGUAAAGCUCUGUUAGUCGGGAAGCGGUACCGGAAUAGAAAGCCACGGCUAACUACGUGCCAGCAGCCGCGGUAAUAC